AGAAAACCUCAUUGGCCCCAUUAAAUGACCGGUGUGUGGCCAGUGCUUGAUAAUACAUUUUAUAGCUUUCUGCCUGGUGUAAAUUUAGCCAUGGCAAUGGUUCUUAGAACCAGAAAGAAAACCUCAGCGGCUGCUUUAAAUGACCACUGUGUGGUCAGUGCUUGGUAAUAGAGUUUACAGAUUUCUGCCUGGUGUAACUUUAGCCAUGGCAGUGGUUCUUAGAACCAGAAAGAAAACCUCAAUGGCCCUUUUUAAUACUAGAUGUGGCUGUUGACCUAUAGAAUAUGUUAUAAUUUUUGAGUCUUUGAGAUUGAGGGGAGGAACAAUUACACACCUGCUGCCAAAGUUUCCACGAAAGAGAGAAGACUUGCUGGCAAGGCAGAAGAAGAAACAAAAGAGAAAGGAGAAAAUGUUUUCAGCUCAAGCCCUAUUAGCCUUCAGCUGUGAUGUUUCCUCCUAUGCUGUGAGCCAUGAAUCCAAAUUGACCUGUAGACGAAGAAGAAGACAUCAACAGUAAGACAGAUGGUUUAAUUCUUAUAACCGAAAGGAAAUGUGAUGGUGCAAUUUAAUAUGACGAAUACCAACAAAGGAGAAUAUUUGGGGCUCACGGUUCAAAUGAGGCGUCCUUGGUGCUCUCUGAGCUUGGUGGUUUUCUUGUACAUGUUUUAUUACUCAACUAGGGAAUAUCAGUGCUAGUAGAACGGAGUGUGGUUUGCUGUCAGUUUAUGUUUGAGUGGCUUCUCUCAGUGUUGUUGAAAAUGAUCUUGGAAGUCCUUUGUUGUGCUAUUUGUUGUUAGCUUCUUUGACCGUUCCUUGAUUGCGGUAUUGUUUUCUUGCCAUAGCGAUGGUUCUUAGACCCAGAAAGCAAACCUCAAUGGCCCUUUUUAAUGUUAGCUGUGGCUGUUGAUCUAUAAAAGAGGGUAGGAGUUUUUCUAGCUUUGCAGACUGAGCGGAGGAAGAAUUGCACCUGCGGUCAAAACUUCUUCGAAAGACACAACGCUUACUGAGGAAGAAACAAAAGCAAAAGAAGAAAGAAAAGACAGAGAGCAAGAAAAUGUCUCCAGCUCAAGCCCUGUUAGCCUUCGGAUGUGAUGUGGCCUCCUACGCUGUGAGGGCAUGUAUUCUACACCACCUUAGAAGACAGAAGAUUCAGUUGUCAGCCUGCAGCGUGGAAGGAAGAAGGAGGAAUGGAACACAAGAAUGAAUAUGAUCUCCAUCAAGAAUGCUACUUCACCAAGUCAAUUACAGCUGACCAUUAGAUAAUAGAUUUCAACGAUUCUUGCCUGCUGUAAAUUCAGCCAUGGCGAUGGUUAUUAGAACCAAAAAAACUACUUCAAUGGCCAUUUUUAAUCCUAGGCAUGGCUGUUGAUAGAUUAUAGAUUGUAUAGUUUUCUGCCUGGUGUAAAUUUAGCCAUGGCAGUGGUUCUUACAACCAGAAUGAAAACCUUACUGGCCCUAUUAAAUGACAGUGUGUGGCCAGUGCUUGGUAAUAGAUUUUAUAGCUUUAUGCCUGGUAUAAAUUUAGCCAUGGCAAUGGUUCCUAGAACCAGAAAGAAAACCUCAUUGGCCCCUUUAAAUGACCAGUGUAUGGCCAGUGAUUGAUGAAAGAUUUUAUAGAUUUCUGCCUGGUAUAAAUUUAGCCAUGGCAAUGGUUCCUAGAACCAGAAAGAAAACCUCAUUGGCCCUUUUUAUUGCUAGAUGUGGCCGUUGAUUUGUAGAACAUUUUAUAGUUUUUGAGUCUUUGAGAUUGAAAGGAGGAACAAUUGCACACCUGCUGCCAAGGUUUCCACGAAAGAGAGAAGACUUGCUGGGCAUGGCAGAAGAAGAAAAAAAAAGCAAAAGAAGAAACAAAAGAGCAAGAAAAUGUCUCUAGCUCAAGCCCUGUUAGCCUUCGGCUGUGAUGUUGCUCCUACGCUGUAAGGCAUUUACUUCACACCACCUUAGAAAACAGAAGACUCAGUUGUCAGCCUGCGGUUUUGAUGGAAGAAGGAAUGGAACUCAAGAAUGAAUAUGAUCUCCAUCAAGAAUGCUACUUCACCAAGAAUCACAGCUGACCAUUAGAUAAUAGAUUUAAACCAUUCUUGCCUGCUGUAAAUUGAGCCAUGGCGAUGGUUAUUAGAACCAAAAAACCCACUUCAAUGGCCAUUUUUAAUUCUAGGCAUGGCUGUUGAUGGAUUAUAGAUUGUAUAGUUUUCUGCCUGGUGUAAAUUUAGCCAUGGUAGUGGUUCUUAGAACCAGAAAGAAAACCUCAACAGCCCUUUUAAAUGACCACUGUGUGGCCAAUGCUUGGUAAUAGGUUUUAUAGUCUUCUGCCUGGCGUAAAUUUAGCCAUGGCGAUGGUUCUUAGAACCAGAAAGAAAACCUCAUUGGCCCCAUUAAAUGACCAGUGUGUGGCCAGUGCUUGGUAAUAGAUUUUACAGCUUUCUCCCUGCUGUAAAUUUAGCCGUGGCAAUGGUUAUUAGAACCAAAAAACCCUCCUCAAUGGCCAUUUUUAAUUCUAGGCAUGGCUGUUGAUGGAUUAUAGAUUUUAUAGUUUUCUGCCUGGUAUAAAUUCAGCCAUGGCAAUGGUUCCUACAACCAGAAAGAAA